rnacentral:rRNA from 1 species
AACAAACGCUGGCGGCGUGCCUAACACAUGCAAGUCGUACGAGAAAGGGUCCUUCGGGACCUGAGUAAAGUGGCGCACGGGUGAGUAGCGCGUGGAUAAUCUACCCUUCAGUUGGGAAUAACUCAUCGAAAGGUGAGCUAAUACCGAAUAACACUGCCUGACCACGGUCCGGUAGUCAAAGAUAGCCUCUGCUUGCAAGCUUUCGCUGAAAGAUGAGUCCGCGUACCAUUAGCUAGUUGGUGGGGUAAUGGCCUACCAAGGCGACGAUCGGUAGCCGGUCUGAGAGGACGGACGGCCACACUGGGACUGAGAUACGGCCCAGACUCCUACGGGAGGCAGCAGUGGGGAAUUUUGGGCAAUGGGCGAAAGCCUGACCCAGCAACGCCGCGUGGAGGAAGAAGGCCUUCGGGUUGGUAAACUCCUGUCCCGAGGGACGAAGUAGGUGACGAUACCUUGGGAGGAAGCCCCGGCCUAACUCCGUG